UUUGAUCAUCUGAGAGGUUUCAAUAGGAUAUUUGUUUUAGGGUGAGAACAUUUAUUUAUUUAUUACAUCUUUAUUGGAGUAUAAUUGCUUUACAAUGUGUGUUAGUUUCUGCUGUACAACAAAGUGAAUCAGCUAUGUAUAUAUACAGGUAUCCCCAUAUCCCCUCCCUCUUGAGCCUCCCUCCCACCCUCCCUAUCCCACCCCUCUAGGUCGUCAUAAAGUAUCGAGCUGAUCUCCCUGUGCUAUGCAGCAGCUUCCUAGUAGCUAUCUGUUUUACAUUUGGUAGUGUAUAUAUGUCAAUGCUACUGUCUCACUUCAUCCCAGCUUCUCCUUGCAGCCUUGUGUCCUCAAGUCCAUUCUCUACAUCUGCGUCUUUAUUCCUGCCCUGCCACUAGGUUGAUCAGCAUCAGUUUUUUAGAUUCCAUAUAUAUGUGUUAGCAUACGGUAUUUGUUUUUCUCUUUCUGACUUACUUCACUCUAUAUGACAGACUCUAUGUCCAUCCACCUUACUACAAAUAACUCAAUUUCAUUCCUUUUUAUGGCUGAGUAAUAGUCCAUUGUAUAUAUAUGCCACAUCUUCUUUAUCCAUUCAUCUGUCGAUGGACAAUUAGGGGAUGAGAACCUUUUAAAAAUAUCCUUGCAAAUAUCUUAUCAGGUGUUUGGCCAGGACAACCAGUAAAUUCUCCUGUAUUGAACCCUUUUUUCCCCUCCCAGGCGGUUUCCAAAGGUAUACUUAUUCCUAAACAUGCCUCAAAACCAAUAAGCCUUAUUAUAGCUUAACAAUGGACAAAAAGAUGUCACUAAAGAGGUUGAAAAAAGAGCAGCCAUGAUACAGAGUCACUCCCAAAGACAGCCAAAAAAAUAAAGACUACAUGAGUCCCUGAGAGCUGGCAGCCUCCUUAGUAGCACAUCAGCCUCAAGUGGGGUGCAACCCACAUUUCUGGACAACCAGCUACAAAUUCUAAGGACCCAAAUGUGACAGUUGGCUGCCAGUACACUCAGGCUAUACAACCAGUGUUCCUUGCAGGAGGAAAGACACAGAGGGAACACUCUCAAUGGAUCCAGGCCAAUCUCCCAGGAUACCAAAUGGGGCAAACGGGAAAGCAAUGCUGUACCUGGAGGGAAAGGACACUGAGAGGACCCAGAACUGAGGGCCAUACAAAAUCACAACGCCCAGAGAAGAGGUCCCCCCAAGUGUUUCCUCAUGCCAGUCUAGAUAUGAGCAAAGGAGAAGACAAGGAGAGAUUGUCACUGCCCUCAUUUGACCCAGUCAGAGCAGAUAUCUGGGAGGCUGACUUAGUCAGAAUUAUUACCUUUUCUUUGUUCUUUCAGACGUCCUGAGAAUCCAUCACAGCCUCUGGAGUGAGUGGUGUGCCCCAGCCUUCCCUUUGUGUUCACCAAAACUGAAAAAAGAAAACAGUUUCCUCGACUUUCUCAGGCUUAGUGGCUGGGGCUUGUAAAUUACACUUACAGAAGACAGGUUAACAGGAGAAAGUGUUUGUUUCCAUGCACACAGGAGCCAACCAAAAAAGCCACUCAAUGCUAAAUAAUGAGAGUCAAAGGCUUAUAACCUAACUUAACAGGGAAAGGGUGAGGGGAGAAUUGGCUUCUAUGGGAAGAACAGAGAGGUUUCUUCAGGAAAGACAAACAGGUUCUUUGGAAAACAAUGGGAUAUGAGAAAGUUUGUGAUAAUGUUUGCGUCUUCUUCAGGGUCAUAAAACACCUCACAGAAGGGACUUAUGGUGGGUUUACUCUUGGUCUCUCUCCUGGGAAUAGAAGCCACCCUGAAGAGGGAAUUUACAGCAGUGGUCAUUUCUCAGAAGUUUCUGCUUUUAUUCAGAUGAGGGAAGCUCCAAGAAAGCUCUUUUUUUCCUGCAUCUAUUGAAUCUCAAGUAUCUUCAGCUUAAAUUGUCUUUAUACCAACCAUGGGGUUCUGUCUGGCUCUCCAUACCUCCAACUUUGUUCUUCAAGAUUCUUUGAUCUAUUCUGAGCCCUUUUUCCACAUGAAUUUUAGACUGCUUGUCAAUUUCUGCAAAACACCACCUGGAAUUUUGGUAGGGAUUGACUUGAAUCUUUAUUUGUGGAGUAUUGCCGUCUUAAUAGAAUUAAGCCUUCUGAUCCAUGAAUAUGGGAUUAUUUUCCAUGAAUUUAGCUCUCUCUUAGUUUCUUUCAACAAGCAAUUGUUGUUUUCAGUGUACAAGUCUUACCCACAUUUCCCUCACCUCUACUGGAUGCUGAUUCAGAACAUAUACAACCUCCGGGAGAAACUUGCCCCAACCCUGCCAUUCACUGCUGCCUAGCUGGCCUGGAACUGAGUCACCAAUAGCUUUUGUUCUUUACUUGAUUCUUUUUUUAAUUAAUUAAUUUAUUUAUUUAUGGCUGUGUUGGGUCUUCGUUUCUGUGCGAGGGCUUUCUCUACUUGUGGCAAGCAGGGGCCACUCUUCAUCGCGGUACAUGGGCCUCUCACUAUCGCGGCCUCCCUUGUUGUGGAGCACAGGCUCCAGACAUGCAGGUUCAGUAAUUGUGGCUCACGGGUCCAGUUGCUCCGCGGCAUGUGGGAUCUUCCCGGACCAGGGCUCGAACCCAUGUCCCCUGCAUUGGCAGGCAGAUUCUCAACCACUGCGCCACCAGGGAAGCCCUAUUUGAUUCUUAAUUCCUUUAGAAUUCAUUAUUUUACCCUCAUAAGUGGUUACUGUCCUUGUAAUAAAUCUUUAAAACAUGAAAUGAUGUUACUUUAAUUAUUCCAACGAUGAGUGAUAAAUGGAUCACACUUAACAUGAUUUUAAUCUUUUUAGAAUUAUACACAUAUUAUAAAGUGAUAUACACAUAUUAUAAAGAAUUGAAAUACCACCUAAAGGAGAAGAGAAGAGGUUUGCAAAUCCCACCCCCAGAGGUGACCAUCAUGAACGGUUUGGUGCAUCUCUCUCAGGCUCUGUCUCUCUCCUGUCUCUCUCUAUCUCUGUCUCCCACACAAGCAGAUUUAUUGACAUCUCUGUUUAUUUCACCUCUUUGUGGUCUUACAGAUGGGAUCCAGGCUGCAGAUGGUUGGUCCUCAUGCUUCCCACCUAAGAGAAUCCUGAGGUCUCCCCUUUCAUGAGAACAUUGAUCUUCAAGAGGUUUUUGGACCACAGGUAUUCUCCGGCCUUGGUUAUGAGGAAUGCUUUUCCAGUUUGUGUGUGUUGGCUCCUGCAGAUCAGUUCAUUCUGGGAACCUUCUGUCGACCAGCCGUCAGCUCUAAGAGGGUGGAGGUCAGGUUCGGUCUCGGCCACAUCUUCCCCGCCGGCACCUUUGAAUUCUACCUCCUUCCUUGGCUUGACUCCUCAGCAUGCUGACAUGCUCUCAGCGACCAUCUUCAGAAGCUCUGUGAACAUGGGCUGGGUCUUUCAAAAUGAAACGCAUUCUUCCUCUACGAUCCAGCCCUCAAACUCCUUGGUACUGAUGGACCUAAAUGAGUCGAAUGCUUCCAUCUACACAGAAACUUGCAUCUGGACGUUUACGGUAGCUUUAUUCAUAACUGCCAGAACUUGGAAGCAACCAAGAUGUCCUUCGGGAGGUGAAUGGACAGAUAGACGGGGCUCCAUCCAUGCAGCAGAAUGUUCUUCAGCACUGAAAAGAAAAAUGAGAGAGAGAGGGAGCCACGGGGUGACAGGUGGGGCACCUUAACUGCAUGUCACUCACUGAAAGAAGCCAAUCUGGAAAGG